AAUUAACUCUCUUAACAACCCAAUUAUCUCAAGUGAUUAAACUGAAUACUUAUCGAUGGUACUUAACAAAAAAGAUAUUGUCAAAAUCUCAGACGUCUUAUCUCUAGUACUUUUAAAAGGCUUGAAUGAAAGUUGUUGGGUUGUUCAAGGUGUUUUCGUACGUCUACUAAUUGUUUAAAAGGCUCUAGUGGAAGUUAUUGAGGUUUUCAGGGAUUUUCAUUGUUCUAGUGAUAGUUACCGAAGCUUUCAAGAAUAUUUUCAUGAUUGUAGCGAUAGAUUAACAAAUACUUUACAGCAUCAUAAGCAGAAACACUCAUGAGAACCUUACCAAGCAUCUCCGUGGCCUUUGAAACUAAUCCUGGUGAUGAAAUGCUUUGCUACUUCACUGCGACUAUUUUUCAAGGCCACAGAGAUGAUCAGCCAGUUUCUCAAAAGUUAGUAAGAUAGAAAUCCUGUUAAUCUGUCACUAGAACCUUUGGAAUGUAGUGGAAAAGGUGCUGCGCAGUGUUUCAGAAUAUGGUGCUUCGUGCUUCGGGUUCCUGGUUCACAAAGAGGGUUCAGUGCUGAGGUGCUGGCUUCCCUCUGCCCGACGCCUCACUCGAUCGUCAGCCGCUGCAGGAGGAGAUCAUGCACGCUACGGGAUCAGUGUUGCUUGGAGCACGAGGCCACGGAAGGCUGGAUACGCACAGGCAGGAGAUUGGUCGCAAAAAGGUAGUUCAAGAUGGGUGACCUACGCAGACAGCUGACCACUUAACAGCCUCUCCACCAUCUCGAGGGGCUGAACAAGCAGGCAAAGCCGUGGUGAGUCAUGGUAGACUCACUUUAACCUCCCAGGCUCCCUGAACCUCCGAAGUUACUCGCUGGCUGAACUCGACACUUCCUGAACCCUCGCUACCUUGCGCCAUGACAAGACGACAACGCCGCCGCCGCCGCCGCCGCCGCCGCCGCCACCACCACCACCACCACCACCACCACCACCACCACCACCACCACCACCACCACCACCACCACCACUACUACUACGAUGGAGUCUACGAGUAAGAAAAGUGACGUGUUCCCACGCAGCGUCAAGAGAGAGAGAGAGAGGGCUGGUUGCUGCACGGAGUCCCCAUCUCAUCGCUCGCCCACUACACAGUCCUGGUGUCCCACCCCCACUUUCCCUCCUGGCGGGGGCGGAGCGCCUUCCAGACACCACCUCGUGGCUGGCCCGUUGCUGGUGACCGGGAUAGUGUUGACUAAGAAGAGUUCGAGAGACUCCGCCACUCAGAUAUUUGCCGCUCAGAUAUUUUGUGAUUUUUAUUUUUAAAAUUUAUUGUGGUAGAUAAGUAAUUAUAAUUAGUUUAGCCGGCUCCCCGGAGACUCUUCGAGGUAUUGUGGCUGAUUUUGUCUCCGGAGACUCUUCGAGGUAUUGUGGCUGAUUUUGUCUCCGGAGACUCUUCGAGGUAUUGUGGCUGACCUUUUAUCUCCGGAGACUCUUCGAGGUAUUGUGGCUGACCUUUUAUCUCCGGAGACUCUUCGAGGUAUUGUGGCUGACCUUUUAUCUCCGGAGACUCUUCGAGGUAUUGUGGCUGACCUUUUAUCUCCGGAGACUCUUCGAGGUAUUGUGGCUGACCUUUUCUCUCCGGAGACUCUUCGAGGUAUU